rnacentral:rRNA from 1 species
AGUCAACCUAACUCGUGGACGUGGAUAACCUCGGGAAACUGAGAAUAAACCACGAUAGAUCAUAGUGCCUGGAAUGGCUUAUGGUCCAAACAGUUUACUGCCAUGGGAUGGGACUGCGGCCUAUCAGCUUGUUGGUGAGGUAAUGGCCCACCAAGGCGAUUACAGGUACGGGCUCUGAGAGGAGAAGCCCGGAGAUGGGUACUGAGACACGGACCCAGGCCCUAUGGGGUGCAGCAGGCGAGAAACCUUAGCAAUGUGCGAAAGCACGACUGGGUCAGUCCGAGUGAUUCCUGAUAAAGGAGUCUUUUGCUUGUCCUAAAAGCACAGGUGAAUAAGGGGUGGGCAAGUCUGGUGUCAGCCGCCGCGGUAAUACCAGCACCUCGAGUGGUCAGGACGUUUAUUGGGCCUAGAGCAUCCGUAGCCGGCUCUGCAAGUCUUCGGUUAAAUCCACCUGCUCAACAGAUGGGCCGCUGGAGAUACUACAGAGCUAGGGAGUGGGAGAGGCAGACGGUAUUCAGUGGGUAGGGGUAAAAUCCUCUGAUCCAUUGAGGACCACCAGUGGCGAAGGCGGUCUGCCAGAACACGUUCGACGGUGAGGGAUGAAAGCUGGGGGAGCAAACCGGAUUAGAUACCCGGGUAGUCCCAGCUGUAAACGAUGCAAACUCGGUGAUGCAUUGGCUUAUGGCCAAUGCAGUGCCGCAGGGAAGCCGUUAAGUUUGCCGCCUGGGAAGUACGGACGCAAGUCUGAAACU